rnacentral:lncRNA from 1 species
AGAUAUGAUCACAAUACCAGCAAAUGAAAUUUGUAUUCUUACUGUGGCUGUAUUUGUCUUUCUAUAUCAGGUGCAAAUUAUAGCUGAGAUUUUCUCCAAGUCGUUUAAAGAAGUACACUCUUCACUCCUGUUAGACAGCAGCAGUAUGGGAAUGCCUACAUUCUCCAGACGUGAUUCACGUGAGAUGCAAGAUGAAAACGUUAUCUCUACAGCAUGUCUUUGUUUAUUCUUUUUCCCAAAAUUGCCAGACUUCCUAGCACAAUGUACAUACAAGUUUUGAUCAGAAGGUUUUAGAGGUAAAGGAAAACACAGGACUUGAAGAUAACAGCUUCAAGCUUCAAGAUAACAGAAGAUAACAACCUUCAUUUUGGAAUGUAUUCUGAUUCUAUUGCUGACUUUGAAGGCCAUGCAUUUUGGUGUUUAAAUAUGUCUAAUAUAGAUACAACUCCAGGGAGGCUUCUGUGAAGGGAAGCCGUCAUAGCACACUGGCAGCUGGCAGCAGUGCUGGCAGAGCCCAAGAGCUCUGUCCCUGUCAGUUCAGCCAGGUACAGGACAUAAUACCACUGAAAAUAACUUAGCCUAGGUUUGUUAUCACAAGAAGGCUUUUGAAUGACAUUAAAGUUGGAAAAGGAAAUAAUAUACACUUGGAAAACUCACUCAUUUACAUAUGUAAUCAAAUGUUCAGUGAGGCUUGCAUAAGUCUCUAGUUUGAGUGAUGGACCCUUGAAAUA